CAGCAUUGUGUCACAUUAAUGUUUGAGUGCUACAUAUUGUCAAGUAGAUGUAGGACUUAAACAGCACUUACACUGAAGUGUACUUACAUCAACUCCUUGUUUAUUUCUUCCAGAGACAUCCAUGCAGACGCCAUAAUGGUUUCCGUGUUUGUAUUGAACUUGACCUCUGACCCCUGACCUCCUGCAUAAGCUUGGUAAACACACUCUCACUUUCUUUCCACUUUAGUGUAUUUGGAGUUAUUCACACGAGGGACAAAUACUCUGGAACACCUGCGAUGGUCAGAAUGUUUCCUGCCAAACUUCCAUCUGCCUCCCUUCACCAAUCACAUGGGACGUUUACCACAGUGUCCACGGCUUGGGUCGGGACCCUGGUGCUG
ensembl:lncRNA